rnacentral:rRNA from 1 species
GACGAAGGGAGCGAGCGUUGUUCGGAAUCACUGGGCAUAAAGGGUCCGUAGGCGGUUUGGGAAGUGGGAUGUGAAAGCCCCCGGCUUAACCGGGGAACGGCAUCUCAAACUCCCUGACUUGAGGAACAGAGGGGAGAGUGGAACUCUCGGUGGAGCGGUGAAAUGCGUUGAUAUCGAGAGGAACGCCGGUGGCGAAAGCGACUCUCUGGAUGUUUCCUGACGCUGAGGGACGAAAGCUAGGGGAGCGAACGGGAUUAGAUACCCCAGUA